GGUGCGGCCGCCGUCUAAGUUCCUUGGAACAGGACGUCAGAGAGGGUGAGAAUCCCGUCUUGGGCGGGCGGUCCGCGCCCGUGUGAAGCUCCUUCGACGAGUCGAGUUGUUUGGGGAUGCAGCUCUAAGCGGGUGGUAAAUUUCAUCUAAAGCUAAAUAUUGGCCGGAGACCGAUAGCGCACAAGUAGAGUGAUCGAAAGGUUAAAAGCACCUUGAAAAGGGAGUUAAACAGCACGUGAAAUUGUUGAAAGGGAAGCGCUUGCGGCCAGACUCGGGGGCGGGGUUCAGCGGGUGCUCGUCGCCCGUGUAUUCCUCGUCUCCCGGGCCAGCAUCAGUUUCGACGGCCGGUCAAAGGCCCCCGGAAUGUGUCGUCUCUCGGGACGUCUUAUAGCCGGGGGUGCAAUGCGGCCCGUCGGGACUGAGGAACGCGCUCCGGCUCGGAUGCUGGCGUAAUGGCCGUAAGCGGCCCGUCUUGAAACACGGACCAAGGAGUCUAACAUCCACGCGAGUGUUCGGGU
rnacentral:rRNA from 1 species